rnacentral:rRNA from 1 species
UUGAACGCUGGCGGCAUGCUUUACACAUGCAAGUCGAACGGUAACAGGGAGCUUGCUCCGCUGACGAGUGGCGAACGGGUGAGUAAUGCAUCGGAACGUACCCAGUUGUGGGGGAUAGCCCGGCGAAAGCCGGAUUAAUACCGCAUAAGUCCUGAGGGAGAAAGCGGGGGACCUUCGGGCCUCGCGCGAUUGGAGCGGCUGAUGUCGGAUUAGCUAGUUGGUGGGGUAAAGGCCUACCAAGGCGACGAUCCGUAGCUGGUCUGAGAGGAUGAUCAGCCACACUGGGACUGAGACACGGCCCAGACUCCUACGGGAGGCAGCAGUGGGGAAUUUUGGACAAUGGGCGCAAGCCUGAUCCAGCCAUGCCGCGUGAGUGAAGAAGGCCUUCGGGUUGUAAAGCUCUUUCAGACGGAAAGAAAUCGGGCGCGUGAAUAGCGUGCCUGGAUGACGGUACUGUCAGAAGAAGCACCGGCUAACUACGU